rnacentral:lncRNA from 1 species
UUUUUUUUAUUUUUAAUUUUUUUUUUUGCACAUGUUCUCUUUGUUAGAUGAAACCCAGGUGGAGAAAGGCUUCCAAUCUUUCUGUGCCAACUGGCUUCAUUCAUAUGUUAAUCUUGGUAAAGCAAUUUUAGCAUAUAUUCGCUUACCAGAUUGCCUCACCCUCACAUUAAUGGUGAAGUGGCAACUUGCCCUUCUAGGAACCCCCAUUCAUCACAAGAGGGCCUGGUAUCUGCCACACUGGUGGCAUACACUGCAGAGAAUGGCUGUGUUGAGAUGUGUCACUGCUCUUCUGCCCCAGGACAGCAUCUGUGACGCUCUACAAACCAGUGGGUUUAUCGAAGCCCCUGUGCGUUGUAGAUUAGAAACUGUUGUGUCUAGAUUUUUCCCGUAUUCUACCCUUAGUUGACACCAAAUCAGAUAAUUACAUGAGUCUUAUGUAUUAACUGUUGUAAUUUCUAGAAAAAAGUCAGAAUCCAAAAAUAAUUGUCUCCUUGUGGCAAAGCAGAGGUCACUUCGGCGUAUACCUUCUUGAAAAAGUAAACUCAUGCAUGGUUCACUUAACAACAGCUUUGCUCUGAGACCGCCAGUUUAUCCUGUGGUCCUCAGUGUGCACUCACACAGCCCACGCACACUGAAUAAUGUCAUCUUCUGGAACUGGUCUGAAUUCUCAUUAGAUCCGUGUUAUCCUACAUAAUCGUCAAAGCCACAUAAAAGAAUAAACGCAAAUGUUCCCUCUAAUCUAGCCACAAAGAUACAACUCACCUACAUCAGGUGCUUUUGUGUGUCCUUCCAAACUGUUUUUAUCCAAGAAUUCUAACUUCAUAAGCCAUGCUCUGCACUGAUUUGUACUGAAGAUCUUGGGGGCACUUGGAAAUAGCAGCACUAACCAGACAUCAUCUUACAGGACGAAGAACUCCUCUUUCACGUCUUCCCUCCAGGUUCCAUUACUCAGCUUUUACACAAGACACAUGUGGACCUCCCAGUAUCCUUAUCUAGAGGAUGCUUCUGAUAGCCGUCAUUCUCAACCCUACAUUCGAUUUAAAAACCAUAUUGGACGGACUUGCAAAGCCUUUGCAGCUCCUGGGAUCAUAAAAGAAAGAUUGGCUCUGUACAGAUGAUUUUAGUGUUAGCUCCACUGGCUAGGUCUGGUUACUUUGAAAGUCAUACUUAAUGCACAAUAAGCCAAAUUGAUGGGUAUGGGGAAGGCUGACUUAGCUCAGUAUUAUCCACAAUCUAGACAACACACCCUCCAGUAAAACUCUAAUUCCAUCCAAGUGCCUGCCUUCUCUUGUUCUGAUCCAAAGCUUUCCCUCAGCUUUUCCUUCUAGUUCCCCUCCCAACCUCAAAAGCAGUGUCUGUUCAGAGCGCUGGGCUCUGGUGUGCGGCUCUCUUACUGCCCUGUGAAGUGGUUUCCACUUAAGGGUUGGGGUGACGCCUCACACUUAGACAGGGUUAAGGAGGUUCUAAAACACGGAAAGAAAGACCAGGUGUGACUUUAGGGGUUGCUUAAGCCUCCAGAGUAGUACCAUCCACAGUCCUUACCUUAGAAUAGGUAUUUAGUAAGCAGCUGCUGGAUGCAGUUGGGGUUACAAAAUGGGUCUUUGGAAAUUUUUACCUUUCCGUGUAUAAGACAAUAACUUCCUUGAAAGGGAAGAGUUAUUUGCAUCCCUUCAAAUCCUGUGUCCUUCGUGGAACAUAAACUCUAUAUAGGUUGAUGUGAAUAUUUCUGUGGCAAUCAGGUGGUCAGGGAACGAAUGCUUACAUUCCACUGGGUCUUUUUUUACUAUCUGCACCCAGCAAUUGAUGGCACUUAAGUAAAUAUCCUCAAUUGUGUUUGACAUCCGAUUGGGUACAGGUGUAGGGACAGGGCAGACAGUACCUCGAUCCUCCCUGGUGAAGGAGUUGCUAAUACUGACGAGACUUGGCUCCUUCGUUUUCGAUUUGGUUGCUUCACUUCACUGAGUCACAGCACCUGCCACUUAGGAUGGCCACACGGCUAAGCCAGAAACCUUCCUUCAGAUUGCUGGUGACAUUAUAUAUGAAUCUCUGGUGACAUUCUCGGCUGACAUUUGUCGCCUGAUCUCAAGUGCUUGCUAAAAGUGAGUUAGCUUUGUCAUUGACACGGAGACUAACUUUCUCUAACCCAGACUAGUGAAAACUGAAUUGUGCCUCACCACACGAAGGUUUUGCUUUCACUGUGCCCAGACCCUCCCAUCUGUCACAGCACAGUCAUUUUGUGUCUGAUUUGGGGGCGGUGUGGUUGUUUCUCAGUGGUGUGUGACCCACUUUUUCAUAAUACUUCAUUCCAUGUGUUUUUACAACACAAGUCAGAAGCUGACGAGAGUGGACUGAAGCCCCAGGAGCAUCUUCUGAGGCUUUCUCGCAAGCUCUAGAACCACAUUCUAAGAAGAAGGUCUUAGCCCUGCAGGGUGUGCGUCCCCUACCAGAGAGUGAUGGGCCAGUUCCUCUAGUUUCUGGAUAAUGAGCCAGUGCACAGGUAACGAUGCCUUUCUCACGGUUGAUUUCUUUUGUGUGCCAAUUAUUUUACCAAAUUAGACCUUUAAAAAUACUAGCCACUUACCUGCAUAGCUUCUCUGUUGGGAUGGGGAGGGGCUCAGGAGAGUAGACAUUUUCAUUGAUACUUUGAGACCUUAGUAACUUUUCCUUAAGAAUCUGAAGGAAUCAAAAAGUUAUCUCUGUUUUCUGUGUGCCCCUAGCAGACGUCCUCUCUGAUGGUUGGUUGUUUCGGUUUGGUUCUACUGCUUGUUGUUGUACUUGUCUGCGAGCGUCAGAUACCUCACUCCGCUGUGACAUCUGGGUGAUAGUUAAACCUUGAUUAGCUUCUGCCUGGGGUAUGGGCAACCUGUGGCGAGAGCAGACAGAAAGCUUCAAAGAAGAGAAGGGCUAAUGAGGGUCCGAUGUGUCUUGCUAGACACUGGCUACUGCAGGCUGGAAGCAGACAGAAGCCAAGUGCUAUUGGCUUAUGUUUGGCAAAAACCAUUCCUCAACACCUGUUUAUAACUUUAUGUUUCUGACAUCACAGCUGUUAACCAGAGGAUUCUUUUAAAUAUCGUCGUUUCAAAACAAAAUGUUGAAGGUGUCACCUGUCCUAAUGUCACUUAUCCUGAUUCACAGGACAGUUUUUGGUGAACAUUUAUUUACCAGGGUCUGUCUGGCUUGUGGCAGUAUCAUCUGCACACUGGACUGCAUACCACCUUAAGAUGUGGAGCAUGCCCAGAGAUAAGUCAACCUUGUUUUCCAUGAAAGUCCUGAGAC